rnacentral:rRNA from 1 species
CCUACGGGAGGCAGCAGUGGGGAAUAUUGCACAAUGGGCGCAAGCCUGAUGCAGCAACGCCGCGUGAGGGACGACGGCCUUCGGGUUGUAAACCUCUUUUAGUAGGGAAGAAGCGAAAGUGACGGUACCUGCAGAAAAAGCACCGGCUAACUACGUGCCAGCAGCCGCGGUAAUACGUAGGGUGCAAGCGUUAUCCGGAAUUAUUGGGCGUAAAGAGCUCGUAGGCGGUUUGUCGCGUCUGCUGUGAAAACUGGAGGCUCAACCUCCAGCCUGCAGUGGGUACGGGCAAACUAGAGUGCGGUAGGGGAGAUUGGAAUUCCUGGUGUAGCGGUGGAAUGCGCAGAUAUCAGGAGGAACACCGAUGGCGAAGGCAGAUCUCUGGGCCGUAACUGACGCUGAGGAGCGAAAGCAUGGGGAGCGAACAGGAUUAGAUACCCUGGUAGUCCACGCCGUAAACGUUGGGCGCUAGAUGUGGGGACCAUUCCACGGUUUCCGUGUCGCNGCUACGACAUAGCGCCCGCCGUCGGGAGGACGGCCGCGACGACGUAAACUUAAAUAGAGUAGACGGCGUGAGACGUGCCGACGGACGACGACGAGGGAGGUAGG